rnacentral:tRNA from 1 species
GAUUCGGUAGCUCAAUCUGGUUGCAGCGGCAGGCUCUUAACCUGUGUCUUAUGUGGGUUCAAAUCCCACCCGAAUCAC